CACAAUCAUGUCUGAAUAUGCUAACAAGAAGACUCGAGGAGCCUUCAUUGCUGCUGUAUUUGCCAUGCAGGGCUUUGGAAUUUUAGCAGGUGGUAUAUUUGCCAUCAUUUUAUCAUCUGCCUUUAGGGCCAGGUUUGAUGCUCCAGCUUAUGAGGUUGAUGCGGUUGCCUCAACUGUCCCACAGGCAGACUAUGUUUGGCGCAUAAUUCUAAUGGUUGGAGCACUUCCCGCUGCACUUACCUACUAUUGGAGAAUGAAGAUGCCUGAAACCGCUCGUUACACUGCCCUUGUUGCUAAGAAUGCAAAACAGGCUGCUUCUGAUAUGUCCAAAGUUCUCCAGGUGGAUCUUGAGGCAGAAGAGCAAAAGGUUCAGCAGCUAGCUCAGGAUCAAUCCAAUUCAUUUGGUUUGUUCUCUAAAGAAUUUCUUCGUCGCCAUGGAAUUCACUUGCUUGGGACAACCACUACUUGGUUCUUGCUUGACAUUGCAUUCUACAGCCAAAAUCUGUUCCAGAAGGAUAUCUUUAGCGCAAUUGGGUGGAUUCCUUCUGCUAAGACUAUGAAUGCUAUUGAGGAGGUUUAUAGAAUUGCAAGGGCACAAACGCUUAUUGCACUAUGCAGUACUGUACCAGGGUACUGGUUCACAGUGGCUCUCAUUGACAAAAUAGGAAGAUUUGCCAUCCAAUUGAUGGGAUUCUUCUUCAUGACAGUGUUUAUGUUUGCCCUGGCCAUUCCUUAUAACCAUUGGACUCACAAGGACAACCGAAUUGGAUUUGUUGUUAUGUACUCAUUAACUUUCUUCUUCUCAAAUUUUGGGCCUAAUGCCACCACAUUUGUCGUGCCAGCUGAGAUUUUCCCUGCAAGGUUAAGGUCUACUUGCCAUGGCAUAUCAGCAGCAUCUGGGAAGCUUGGGGCAAUAGUGGGUGCUUUUGGCUUCUUAUAUUUGGCUCAGAACCAGGACAAAAGCAAGGCUGAUGCAGGGUACCCUGCAGGCAUUGGGGUAAGGAAUUCACUUCUUGCGUUAGGUGUGAUCAACUUCUUAGGCAUGCUUUUCACUUUCCUGGUGCCAGAAUCUAAGGGGAAAUCACUGGAGCAGAUGUCUGGUGAGAAUGAGCAUGAGCAUGAACUUGAACAAGAACAGCAGUAAGAGCGGCUGGAAAUUCCAGAGGAAAGGAUAGUUUUGACUAUGUUAGCAAGAUUUUGUAAAUAGAACUUGCAUAAUUUGAUGUUUUCUCAUCUGUUGCAGCAACCCAUGGACAAAGCAUCAGAUAGCCAUCAAAUUCUUUAUUUUCUCUUUUUCACCCAGUUUUAUCUUUAAUGCAUUUUUUUAAAUAAGGUUUAAUAUAGCAUUUUAGAACUACACUAGGAGAUUACUUAGGCUUAUAUUGGCUUCCAUGAUUUUCAACAUUUCAACUGUCCAAUUUUUUUCCUCUGUGCAACACAAAGAACACAGAUAAGGAAAAGCGGAGGAAGAAAAAGAAAAGAGUCUCUACUGCAAAUUGUUAUGAUAACAUAUUUAAACUUCCAAGUAACCAACAACAAACUUCUCUUAUCUGAUCAGCAGCAAAGAGUACGGGAGCUUCUUAUCAGCCUCUUCCAGUGCUAGUUAUUUAGGGAAUAUGUUGUUUAUCUUGUUUGGAAAAGGAUUCUGCAAGUAGCUUAAUAGAAGAGGCAUAAUUCAGAAGUUGGAAAAACAAUGGCGGAUUUGUCUCCCCUGAGGUGGAAACCUCUGAAUUGCAGAGGAAGCUCAAUUUGCACGGUCUCUGAGCACUUCAAGAUCCAUCUCUGUAGAGUCAGUUGCCUGAAUCUCAUAGUGGAUACCAUCCAGCUCCCUUCUGAACCUGUCUUUAGAUGUGGCAUAGAGCAUCUUGGCUCGGAUUCGAGAUGUUGAAGGAGACCAUGCAAUGAAGAAGAUCUUGCUCUUCUGACAAUUCUCAGAAGUCACAAAAUCA
rnacentral:misc_RNA from 1 species